GUGCUCACUUCGGCAGCACAUAUACUAAAAAUGAAAUGAUACAGAGAAGAUUAGCCCCUGAACAAGGAUGACACGCAAAUUUGUGAAGUGUUCCAUAUUAAA